rnacentral:rRNA from 1 species
GAUGAACGCUGGCGGCGUGCCUAACACAUGCAAGUCGAGCGAAGCGCUUAAAUUAGAUUUCUUCGGAAUGACGAUUUUUGUGACUGAGCGGCGGACGGGUGAGUAACGCGUGGGUAACCUGCCUCAUACAGGGGGAUAACAGUUAGAAAUGACUGCUAAUACCGCAUAAGACCCCAGCUUCGCAUGAAGCGGUGGUAAAAACUCCGGUGGUAUGAGAUGGACGCGCGUCUGAUUAGCUAGUUGGUAAGGUAACGGCUUACCAAGGCGACGAUCAGUAGCCGAGAUGGGAGCGUGACCGGCCACGUUGGGACUGCGACACGGCCCAGAAUCCUACGGGAGGCAGCAGUGGAGAAUAUUGCACAAUGGGGGAAACCGUGAUGCAGCGACGCGGCGGGAAGGAUGAAGUAUUUCGGUAUGUAAACUUCUAUCAGCAGGGAAGAAAGUGACGGUACCUGACUAAGAAGCCCCGGCUAACUACGUG